UUGAGAUUAGUUUUUCGACAUAUCAAUUCAUUAAGUAAUAUUCAAUCAACAUAAGAUAUACAAACUCUAACAUCUUGAUUCUAUAUAAAAUACAAAACAUUGCCUCGACUAAAAACUAUAUUGCUGAUUUUGAACGUCUUGAAGUCGAAGAAUAUAGACACAUCCUCUUCAAUGGGAUCCUGAGAAAGUAAAAUUAACGAUUAACAAUAAGAUACACAAAAAAUAAAAUUAACUCCAUAAUCUACAACCAAGUGAUUAAACUUCCAUGUUUUUUUCACAAAAAACUUCCAUGCUUUUAAAACACAGAAAAUACUUUCUUUUAUGAAUUUGUUUAUGGAGGAAGG
rnacentral:lncRNA from 1 species